CUCCUGGGAGUUGGUGAUGGACAGGGAGGCCUGGCGUGCUGCGAUUCAUGGGGUCGCGAAGAGUCGGACACGACUGAGCGACUGAACUGAACUGAAGACAAAAUUGCUUAUACCCCCAUCAUAUAAUCAAUUAAAUAGUUUAUUUUUCCUCAUAUACUCAUUGUUUUAUAUAUUUCCUAGUAUUAUCAUCAUUUUAAACUCAAAGCCUGGAAACUUUGUCUUUCAGGACACAAGUGAACUGUUUUUCUGUUUCUUUGAAACAGGUACAAAUACAUUUUUAAAGAACUAGAUGUGGAGGAAGAAGGAAGCAUUUAUGAGGACACUGGCCAGACUGCCAAAGCUUCAAGUACUGGAGCCAAGAUUCAAAAUAAAUCUUUUGCCCCAAAUCUCUGCCUCCUUCCAAACAGAAAGAUCCAAGUUUAAUGUGUGAUGGCUGUUCCUCUAUUUAAUGAAUAAAAGAAAAGAUUGAAUCUA